rnacentral:rRNA from 1 species
CAACGAAUCUUCCGCAAUGCGCGAAAGCGUGACGGAGCAAUGCCGCGUGCAGGAUGAAGCCCCUCGGGGUGUAAACUGCUGUCAGGGUUCAGCAACACAAUGAGCAGACCCAAAGGAAGGGCCGGCUAACUUCGUGCCAGCAGCCGCGGUAAUACGAAGGGCCCGAGCGUUGCGCGGAAUCACUGGGCUUAAAGCGUACGUAGGCGGACAAGCAGGUACUUUGUGAAAGCCCUCGGCUCAACCGAGGAAUCGCUUGGUAAACCGUUUGUCUUGAGGCGAGUAGGGGCUGCCGGAACGAUAGGUGGAGCGGUGAAAUGCGUUGAUAUCUAUCGGAACGCCAAAGGCGAAGGCAGGCAGCUGGGCUCGUUCUGACGCUGAGGUACGAAAGCGUGGGGAGCGAACGGGAUUAGAUACCCCCGUAGUCC